GAUGAACGCUGGCGGCGUGCCUAAUACAUGCAAGUCGAGCGAACAGAUAAUGAUCUUGCUCCUUUGACGUUAGCGGCGGACGGGUGAGUAACACGUGUGUAACCUACCUAUAAGACGGGUAUAACUUCGGGAAACCGGAGCUAAUACCGGAUAACAUUUGGAACCGCAGUGUUCUAAAGUAAAAUAUGGUGUUGCUAGCACGUAUAGAUGGACCCGCGCCGGAUUAGCUAGUUGGUAAGGUAACGGUUUACCAAGGCGACGAUACGUAGCCGAACUGAGAGGGUGAUCGGCCACACUGGAAGUGAGACACGGUCCAGACUACUACGGGAGGGAGCAGUAGGGAAUCUGCCGCAAUGGGAGAAAGCAUGACGGAGCAAGGCCGAGUGAGUGAUGAAGGGUUUGGGUUCGUAAAAACCUGUUAUUAGGGAAGAACCACCGUGUAAGUAAAUGUGCACGUCUUGACGGUAACUAAUAAGAAAGCAACGGCUAACUACGUG
rnacentral:rRNA from 1 species